rnacentral:misc_RNA from 1 species
CUCUCAUAUCCCUUGGAUGGCUGUUGACUAAUAUCUCGCCGACAUUGUUGACAGCCCUGCACAGGGUAUCAUAGUUUAAGUCAGUGAUCAGUGCUCCUGAGGGUCCCAUAAUCGCGGUCAGUUCAUGAGAGCGAAAUUCACCAUUCACUUCCCGCAAAAUCUGCUUCGUCUUUUGGGCUGCA